AACGCACCUUGCACCUUUUGGUAUUCCGAAAGGUACACCCGUUUGAGUGUCAUUGUAAUCUCACUCCUUCAACUUUGUUGUUGCUGGAUGUGGACUUGGACUCUGUCGUGUAACAACGACUGGUCUGAAAUGCCUGAGUGCACCCUGCUGUUGCAGCGUCUUCAGUGUGAUAAGCAUCUUCACUGAUUCAAGUUCCUUUGGGACACGUAGCAUUGUGGGCUCUGUGCUGACGAACCGUCUUUGGACAAUCUUUGACAAUUUGACCUCAAAUCGGGUGGGACUACCCGCUGAACUUAA
rnacentral:misc_RNA from 1 species